UGGGGAAUAUUGGGCAAUGGGCGAAAGCCUGACCCAGCAACGCCGCGUGAGGGAAGAAGGUUUUCGGAUUGUAAACCUCUGUUCUUAGUGACGAAGGAAGUGACGGUAGCUAAGAAGGAAGCCCCGGCUAACUACGUGCCAGCAGCCGCGGUAAUACGUAGGGGGCGAGCGUUGUCCGGAAUUACUGGGCGUAAAGGGUGAGUAGGCGGUUUAUUAAGUUGGAUGUGAAAUACCCGGGCUUAACUUGGGGGGUGCAUUCAAAACUGGUAGACUAGAGUAUCGGAGAGGGAAGCGGAAUUCCUGGUGUAGCGGUGAAAUGCGUAGAUAUCAGGAGGAACACCGGUGGCGAAGGCGGCUUUCUGGACGACAACUGACGCUGAGGCACGAAAGCGUGGGGAGCAAACAGGA
rnacentral:rRNA from 1 species